rnacentral:rRNA from 1 species
AGUAACGGCGAGUGAAGCGGCAAUAGCUCAAAUUUGAAAUCUGGCCCUUUCAGGGUCCGAGUUGUAAUUUGCAGAGGGCGCUUUGGCGUCGGCAGCAGCCUAAGUUCCUUGGAACAGGUCAUCAUAGAGGGUGAGAAUCCCGUAUGUGGCUGCUUGUCUUCGCCGUGUAAAGCCCCUUCGACGAGUCGAGUUGUUUGGGAAUGCAGCUCUAAAUGGGAGGUAAAUUUCUUCUAAAGCUAAAUAUUGGCCAGAGACCGAUAGCGCACAAGUAGAGUGAUCGAAAGAUGAAAAGCACUUUGGAAAGAGAGUCAAAAAGCACGUGAAAUUGUUGAAAGGGAAGCGCUUGCAGCCAGACGUGCCCGCAGUUGCUCAUCUGGGGAUCUCCCCAGUGCACUCUUCUGUGGGCAGGCCAGCAUCAGUCUGGGCGGUUAGAGAAAGACCUGUGUCACGUAUCUGCUCUCGGGCAGUGUUAUAGGGCAGGUGGAAUGUAACCAGCCUGGACUGAGGUCCGCGCAUCUGCUAGGAUGCUGGCGUAAUGGCUGUAAGCGGCCCGUCUUGAAACACGGACCAAGGAGUCUAACAUCUAUGCGAGUGUUUGGGUGUCAAGCCCGAGCGCGUAAUGAAAGUGAACGGAGGUGGGAACCCUAGGGUGCACCAUCGACCGAUCCUGAUGUCUUCGGAUGGAUUUGAGUAAGAGCAUAGCUGUUGGGACCCGAAAGAUGGUGAACUAUGCCUGAAUAGGGUGAAGCCAGAGGAAACUCUGGUGGAGGCUCGCAGCGGUUCUGACGUGCAAAUCGAUCGUCAAAUUUGGGCAUAGGGGCGAAAGACUAAUCG